rnacentral:rRNA from 1 species
UGGGGAAUAUUGCACAAUGGGCGAAAGCCUGAUGCAGCAACGCCGCGUGAGUGAUGAAGGUCUUCGGAUUGUAAAGCUCUGUCUUUUGGGACGAUAAUGACGGUACCAAAGGAGGAAGCCACGGCUAACUACGUGCCAGCAGCCGCGGUAAUACGUAGGUGGCGAGCGUUGUCCGGAUUUACUGGGCGUAAAGGGUGCGUAGGCGGAUGUUUAAGUGAGAUGUGAAAUACCCGGGCUUAACUUGGGUGCUGCAUUUCAAACUGGAUAUCUAGAGUGCAGGAGAGGAGAAUGGAAUUCCUAGUGUAGCGGUGAAAUGCGUANAGAUUAGGAAGAACACCAGUGGCGAAGGCGAUUCUCUGGACUGUAACUGACGCUGAGGCACGAAAGCGUGGGUAGCAAACAGGAUUAGAUACCCUGGUAGUCCACGCCGUAAACGAUGAGUACUAGGUGUAGGAGGUAU